GGGAAAAUAUCCAGUGCUACGGUUCAUCCCAUGAUACGCUGCUACAAGAUCUCCUGGUGCGUUGGAUCUGCAUGGAAGGGGUCGCUGCCAACAUCCAGUGUAUAUCAAAAGGGGCAGAUUAAGCAAACUUGCACCAGAUUAUUAGAAGGACAUUGCAACUACAUGUACAGAAUUUGUUUCUGCAACAGAUUUAUUCACUGUAAUGCAAAGAAGAGAUCGGACGUGCUAAUCGUUUU